UUAUUCGCUGACAUUUCUUUUCUAAUUGCGUGAAAUUUGGUAAGUAUUGUAAUAAAACCGAAUUAUUUUACAAAUAAAUUAUAAUUUUGCAUUUAUUAGGUCAUUUCCUUAGUGUUUUCCUGGCCGACCUGUGCUGGUAUUGUAAUUAAGAGCUAAUACCCCAUUCUCUGGUGAACUGCAGCUGCGGCCGAAUUUGAUUGUGUGCAUCAUCCUGCAGAUAUUUUGAAAUUUUGUGGACGCUUCUGCUGUGCUGCGUUCCUGCUCCGCCCGUGUAUUGCUCCGCCCGUGUUUUAUAGUGUUGCGUCCCUGUUGCGCCUUUGCAUUAGUGUGUGCGUUGUGCUUUAGACACGUUGAAAUUGUUUGUAUGCUUCUGCUGUGCUGCGUUCCUGCUUCACCCGUGUAUUAGAAUGCUGCGUUCCUGUUAAUAUACCCGCGUAACUGAC